rnacentral:rRNA from 1 species
GACGAACGCUGGCGGCGUGCUUAACACAUGCAAGCCGAACGGAAAGGCCCUGCUUUUGUGGGGUGCUCGAGUGGCGAACGGGUGAGUAACACGUGAGUAACCUGCCCUUGACUUUGGGAUAACUUCAGGAAACUGGGGCUAAUACCGGAUAGGAGCUCCUGCUGCAUGGUGGGGGUUGGAAAGUUUCGGCGGUUGGGGAUGGACUCGCGGCUUAUCAGCUUGUUGGUGGGGUAGUGGCUUACCAAGGCUUUGACGGGUAGCCGGCCUGAGAGGGUGACCGGCCACAUUGGGACUGAGAUACGGCCCAGACUCCUACGGGAGGCAGCAGUGGGGAAUAUUGCACAAUGGGCGGAAGCCCGAUGCAGCAACGCCGCGUGCGGGAUGACGGCCUUCGGGUUGUAAACCGCUUUCGCCUGUGACGAAGCGUGAGUGACGGUAAUGGGUAAAGAAGCACCGGCUAACUACGUG